CAUUUUACAUCUCCAAUUCCACUCUCCAGAGGUAAUACAUACUCUUUGUAAAAAUAUUAAAAGAAUACAGGAGAGUAUCAAGUAAAAAAGUAGAAGUCCCCCCUCAUUUUACAUCUCCAAUUCCACUCUCCAGAGGUAAUCAUUGUUUUUGUUUUGUUUUUUUUCAAAUGGAGUCUCGCUCUGUUGCACAGGCUGGAGUACAGUGGCUUGAUCUCAGCUCACUGCAACCUGCGCCUCCCGGGUUCAAGCAAUUCUCCUGCCUCAGCCUCCUAACUAGCUGGGAUUACAGGCAUG
rnacentral:lncRNA from 1 species